UACGUAGGGUGCAAGCGUUAUCCGGAAUUAUUGGGCGUAAAGAGCUCGUAGGCGGUCUGUCGCGUCUGCUGUGAAAUCUGGGGGCUCAACCCCCAGCCUGCAGUGGGUACGGGCAGACUAGAGUGCGGUAGGGGAGAUUGGAACUCCUGGUGUAGCGGUGGAAUGCGCAGAUAUCAGGAAGAACACCGAUGGCGAAGGCAGAUCUCUGGGCCGUAACUGACGCUGAGGAGCGAAAGCGUGGGGAGCGAACAGG
rnacentral:rRNA from 1 species